GCCGCCCUGGGUGCGGCGGGGCAGCGCCGGGGCGGGGGCGCAUCCGAGAACCGGGGGCCGCGGCGCCUUCCCCAGCACCAGCGGACCCGCGGGACCGACGGACGCGGCCAGAGCGCGGGACCCGGUCGUCUUGAAAGUGGUCCAGGGCCCCCAGGGGGUCAUGCUCGGGGCCACUGCGGGAGGUCAGGAAGCAAGUUCUCGUGCCCACGUUAAAGGCAGGUGGAAUCUAUAUGUGAUGACAGGAGCAGUAGUAGCCACCUUGGAGUCAAAAAUUAAUGUCACAUCUGGAGGGUGAUCCCAUCAUCCGAUCUUUUAUCUGUUACAAGCCUAGAAGAUUCCCUCUUCAGAAGGACACUUCCAAUCCCUACUCUUAGAGACCACUCACCU
rnacentral:lncRNA from 1 species